rnacentral:lncRNA from 1 species
AUUAAAAAACCUAAAGCAUUACUAUAGUCCGUCACUCAAUCCCAGACUCCGAGUCGUUCGUUCAUUUCAGAUAUAAAUCCCCAAAACAAAUCUUAGUUUCAAAAUAACCUCAUAAACGGCUAAAUUCCUCCCAUCUAAUCCCUAAUUCCUGAUCAUUGAAUCACGCUUGAAGUAAAUGUAAGUACUGAGCUUUCUUUAUUCAAUUUUCAAGUAUUUUUGUUCCAUUUCUGUGUAUUGUUCAUCAAUUAGGUUUACAAACUACUAAAGCUUUGUCAUUUACUUUGUAAUUUGUGUUCUUAUUUGAAUUAUUAAGUAGUUUUAUAGUUUGAGUUUGAGUUUUAUUGUUUGAGUUUGAGCUUGAUGCUUCUUAGCAAUAAACAUCAUAUUGACUUGCUUCUUGGCUCCAUCUGAUUAAUAAGUUCUUAUUAUGUAACUUUUAUCUUUAAACGUUCGAAAGCUAUCUACAAGUAUUAUAAAAAAAAUUUGGGUACAAAAAAAUUCAUAAUUUUCGAGCUUUUAACGAGCGAGUUCGAGCCGAACGAGCUCGAGCCGAACUCGAGCCGAGCUCACUAAAAGCUCGGCUCGAGCUCGUUUUCUUAACGAACACAUUUAUGUGUUCGAGCUCGAGCUCGAGUUCUUAACGAACCGAGCCGAACCGAGCUUUUAUCGAGCCGAGCUCGAGCUUGUUCGCGAACAGCUCUGUUCGUGAACAGCCCUAGAUAAAAGUAGUUAAAACCCCAGUUUAGUUUUAAAAAAAAACCCCAGUUUGAUCACGUACCGCCAUGGAUUUUGAACUAGUAUUAUUGACAUUAUUUCUGUUGAUUUCAAGCUUCAUACCCACUCUUUCUGCAUCAUCUCCAUACCCCGACGGCGAAUACGAGCUAGUCUACUUGCUAAUCGCAGAACUCGAGGAGCCUCCGGCUCCGCUCGCUGAUCUUCUGAAACUAAAUCUAUCUUCCACUCUCCCAACUCUUAUGCCAUCGGAAGAGGUUACGGNUUUGGCUUAUAACUAUUCGAUAAACCAUGCACGUUCCUCUCACUCAUCCAAAUUUGUAUCUUUCUUCGGCGUUUGCGGUUCACGGCACUAGAGGCAUAUUUUAGGUCUUUAUUUAUGUAAUAAACAAAACAUUAGUGUAAAUUUCGUGAUUUAGGUUAAUUGCGUUUACUUGCCUAUAAUUCUGUUUUGUUUAAUUUUGAUUUUGUGCUUUAGCUUUUUGAGAUGAAAUUAACUUUUUGGAUCAAAUUAGAUGUUUGACCAAAUGAAAAAGCUAAUGUUGGUGUUUGGUAGUUAGCUUAUUGAAAUAGCUUUUUGCAUCCAAAAAGCUAAUUUUGAAAAAGCUAUUAGGAAUAGCUUUUUCAAUUAGAUGAUUGGCAAUGUGUCUGGGUAAAGUACAAACAGCUAAUUCAAUCAGCUAUUUACCAAACACU